rnacentral:rRNA from 1 species
UACGUAGGGGGCAAGCGUUGUCCGGAAUUAUUGGGCGUAAAGAGCGCGUAGGCGGUCCGGUAAGUCGGUUGUGAAAGUCGGGGGGCUCAACCCUCGGAUGCCGAUCGAUACUGUCGGGCUAGAGUCCGGAAGAGGCGAGUGGAAUUCCUGGUGUAGCGGUGAAAUGCGCAGAUAUCAGGAGGAACACCAAUGGCGAAGGCAGCUCGCUGGGACGGUACUGACGCUGAGGCGCGAAAGCUAGGGGAGCAAACGGG